rnacentral:lncRNA from 1 species
CACUACAUCACAAGAAAUUCUUCAUCCCUCAAAACUUCUCUUCAGCGACACAUAUCAUCUUCUCUCAAACCUAAUUUACAAGCUUAGCCUUCUCUGUACCCAUGUAACACCACUUGGAAUCUUGAUUAAUGGGCGAGAUUUGCAGUUCGAUCUAUUCCAAAGAAGUGUCGAAGCUUUUAUAUUUGUAGAGGUUGAUGGAGAUGCAAAACAUUGCAUCUGCGAUUUCGCAAUUUGGAAGAAACCUUCAUGUUUCUUCUAUUUCACCUCUAUGAAAUUCUUCAGUUCACUGUGGUUGUGUUAUAGAAUUGCUCUACAAACAAAUAUUUUGGCAUGGUUGAUUUAGGCCUAUAGCCCUUGAUAUAUAUGAGGUAGUUUGGCUAAUCUUAUAUGAGCUUAACAAAUGUGAACUGACGAAAAGAACUCUUAAACGAUUAAAACAUGUAAAAAAAAUGUACAUCAACAUUGUUAUUGAAUAUAUUGUAGCAGUCAUUGUGCUUAGCCAAUGUAAACUUUUAAGAAAAUAACUCUUCAUAGGAUUGAAAUAUAUUCAAAGAGUACACUAGUGUUGUUCUUAAUUGUGUUGUGUCUUCCAUUAUGGAAGAGGAAGUGUAUGAUAGGAAGUAAUGGAUAACACAAAUUUGGGACUAGUGAAUAGGAGAAGAGUACAUUAUGGACAAUGCUUUGUGAUAUAUGAAUUCUUGAUAAGUUCAGGUUGAUAUUUCAAAGGGAUGGUAAUUUAUAUAAGAAUCAGUAUAAGGAGGGGACUGUAAAUCUUUUUUUCUCUAUUAGCUGCACAAUGCAUUUCUAUUAAUGGUGAGAUGCAUGGUCUAAUGAGGAUAACAAAAUCUAUAGUAGUUAUGUUGGAAUUCCUCUUCAUUUGUGAUGCACGGAAGGUUUUUCAGUAUCUACAAAUUUGUGGAUAUGGAAUUGAACUUGGCUAAUCUAGAGGACAUGUUAAGAUUCAAAUAGUUAUAUUUUUAGUGGAAAAAUAUUUUUGAGCUAUGUAAUUGAAGAAGUGCUUUAUUUUUGCACCUGAUUCGUAGGAAAGAAAACACAAAGACGCCUAGAAAAGUUUGUCAGGUGUGAUUCGGUUAGCAAGCAGUUUUAUUGUUUGAAAGCAAACACAACCCAAAGUAGGGGAGUUUGAAUGCGAAAACAGUGUACUCAUACCCUAGGUAUAAGGUAUACUUUUAGUGCGUUAUCUAAAUGCAUUUUAAUUUUUUAUACGACAUAUGAACCGAUUCUUAUAUUUGAAAAUUCCAAACUCUAUUGGAAACCUUUCCCAAGUUGUUCUAAUGUAUCUGAACCAAAUCCAACUGAGAGGAAAAUUCCAUCAUAAAUAUUUGGUUUUAGCUCAUUGGUGUUCUGCAAUUUUUUGCAAACCAGCUGAGUUGAAGUAUGCCACCUUCUAUUGGAAAUCUCCCAAAGGCUAAUAUUUGAGAACAUCAAGCUUAGUGAAAAACUGAUUGCAACAGUUGGUCAUCUUGCAACUUAUCAAGAUGUACUUUUCUAAUAAUCUUUUUACAGGCAAAUCCCAUCUUGUUUUGGUAAUUUACAGUUCCUACAGACACUAGAUUAGUCAAAUAAUAAACGCGGAUAAUUAUCUUAAAAUUUACCUCAUAUUUGUUGGAAAAGAGUUGAACUUCUCAAUCUCUAAGGAUAGUUAUCUUAAAAUUUUAAAGUAAUGCAGAACUCUUGUAUAUAUCUCUAAAUGUGGCUCAAGUAGUCUAAAUUAAUUUUUCUACCGGAAGAAAAACCUUAUAUUUUGCAGAUUCUUGUCAAGAAACUUCAAAGAAGGUUCUAUUUUUAAAAAAAAACUUGUAUGAGUUCAUGAGUACAUGUUUAUCAUUCAUCUGCUCUUAACCUUUUUAUUUUUCUUAAGCUAGUAGUCCUUUAUUUCAUUUAUGCAAUAUCAUAGAAAAAUGUUUGUGUUUAACUUUAAAACGAAUAGCGAUUUUGCAGAUUUAAAGUAUAUGAAGAUUCCCAUAACUUUCGUCAGUAACUUGUAUUGGAUCUAUUCCAGGUCCUAGAAAUGGGUCAGUAACAUGUUUAUCAUUCAUCUGGUUGUGUUGUUUCUUUCAAGAAUCAGCUAAGCAAUACGAGGUGGAAGUUGCCAUUAGCUCUGAAAUGGUUUUUGUUUUAAGUUUAAGUUGUUAGAGAUGACACCACUUGUAUUUGUUUAAUCAUAUCUUCAACAUACCUCCUCACAUGCAAUUUUAGAAUUUUAGAAUUGAAUGACUGAGCUGGUUACCAGUAGAUUAGUCAUAUAUGACGUUACUUUCUAUAUAUUAUUUUUUAUGAAUACAAAUGUAUUUUUCUAAGGUGAGCAGCUCCCCAGUUUCAAGAGUUAGCUGCUUCACUCAGGUUUGCUCGAUGUCUCUUUCCCGGUACGUCUUCUAGGUUUACUGAUAGAAGUGCUAAUGGUUUGAUCUGGAAUUUCGUUUUUGUGUUUGAUCUUGCCUCUUAGUUUGAUUUAUUUCACUUGUGUGCAAUUUGGCGCGUUGGGAUAUACAUAUAUUUCUAUUUGAGGUUUGUUUUACCUAUGCAUGACAUAGUUCUGUAUGUGUGAACUGAGUUUGGGAAUUUUUUGUUCCUUAUGCACUGCAGGAAUUUGCGGUAGUGAGGUUUUCUGUGUGAAGAUCAGCUCUCCUCCAUGGGCUUGACACAAAUUAGAUUUGAAUUUGCUUGAAAUGGUUGCUGGACCUGACUCUUAAAACACGGGAACUGCUAACUGUUGGUUCUGGAAUUCAAAGAGCCUAAGCAGAUAAACCAACAGGACAUCAUUUACAUUAAUAUUAUUUGAUAGAGGAUGUGAAUUUUUUCUUCUUUAUUUUCAUGAAGUUGAUGUGCAAACAAUGACGUGACUGAUGUAUUAUGGUUUAUAUAUAUAUACACGAAAGCAGAUUAUUGGUUUUCUG